rnacentral:piRNA from 1 species
CCAGAGGAUCUGACACUCUGUUCUGGUUGU